rnacentral:rRNA from 1 species
GUUGUAUAGUCAAGUAAUUAAGUGCAUGUGGUGGAUGCCUUGGCAGUCAGAGGCGAUGAAAGACGUGAUAGCCUGCGAAAAGCUCCGGGGAGGCGGCAAAUAUCCUUUGAUCCGGAGAUGUCUGAAUGGGGGAACCCACCUACUUUAAGGUAGGUAUUGCAACAUGAAUACAUAGUGUUGCAAGGCGAACGAGGGGAAGUGAAACAUCUCAGUACCCUUAGGAAAAGAAAUCAAUUGAGAUUCCCUCAGUAGCGGCGAGCGAACGGGGAUCAGCCCAUUAAGUUAUGUGUGUUUUAGUGGAACGCUCUGGGAAGUGCGAACGUAGAGGGUGAUAUUCCCGUACACGAAAGGGCACACAUAAUGAUGACGAGUAGGGCGAGGCACGUGAAACCUUGUCUGAAUAUGGGGGGACCAUCCUCCAAGGCUAAAUACUCCUGACUGACCGAUAGUGAACCAGUACCGUGAGGGAAAGGCGAAAAGAACCCCUGUGAGGGGAGUGAAAUAGAUCCUGAAACCGCAUGCAUACAAGCAGUGGGAGCACCUUCGUGGUGUGACUGCGUACCUUUUGUAUAAUGGGUCAGCGACUUAUAUUCAGUAGCAAGGUUAACCGUAUAGGGGAGCCGUAGAGAAAUCGAGUCUUAAUAGGGCGUUUAGUUGCUGGGUAUAGACCCGAAACCAGGCGAUCUAUCCAUGAGCAGGUUGAAGGUUGGGUAACACUAACUGGAGGACCGAACCCACUGUCGUUGAAAAGCCAGGGGAUGACUUGUGGAUAGGGGUGAAAGGCUAAUCAAGCCUGGUGAUAGCUGGUUCUCCCCGAAAGCUAUUUAGGUAGCGCCUCGGACGAAUACCAUAGGGGGUAGAGCACUGUUUCGGCUAGGGGGUCAUCCCGACUUACCAAACCGAUGCAAACUCCGAAUACCUAUGAGUACUAUCCGGGAGACAGACUGCGGGUGCUAACGUCCGUAGUCAAGAGGAAAACAAUCCAGACCGCCAGCUAAGGCCCCAAAAUCAUAGUUAAGUGGGAAACGAUGUGGGAAGGCAUAGACAGCUAGGAGGUUGGCUUAGAAGCAGCCACCCUUUAAAGAAAGCGUAAUAGCUCACUAGUCGAGUCGGCCUGCGCGGAAGAUGUAACGGGGCUAAAACUAUGUGCCGAAGCUGCGGANNNNNNNNNNNNNNNAUGCUGGAGGUAUCAGAAGUGCGAAUGCUGACGUGAGUAACGACAAAACGGGUGAAAAACCCGUUCGCCGAAAGACCAAGGGUUCCAGUCCAACGUUAAUCGGGGCUGGGUGAGUCGACCCCUAAGGCGAGGCCGAAAGGCGUAGUCGAUGGGAAAAUGGUUAAUAUUCCAUUACUUCUGUGUAAUGCGAUGAGAGGACGGAGAAGGCUAAAUCAGCCUGGCGUUGGUUGUCCAGGUGAAAGGAUGUAGGCAUGUAUCUUAGGCAAAUCCGGGGUACUCUAUGCUGAGAUCUGAUAGCAAGCUGUACUUGUACAGCGAAGUGGUUGAUGCCAUGCUUCCAGGAAAAGUCUCUAAGCUUCAGUUACACAGGAAUCGUACCCGAAACCGACACAGGUGGUCAGGUCGAGUAGACCAAGGCGCUUGAGAGAACUCUGCUGAAGGAACUAGGCAAAAUGGUACCGUAACUUCGGGAGAAGGUACGCUGUUGUUGGUGAUGGAACUCGCUUCCUGAGCUGACGACAGCCGCAGAAACCAGGCCGCUGCAACUGUUUAUUAAAAACAUAGCACUCUGCAAACACGAAAGUGGACGUAUAGGGUGUGAUGCCUGCCCGGUGCUGGAAGGUUAAUUGAUGGGGUUAGCGUAAGCGAAGCUCUUGAUCGAAGCCCCAGUAAACGGCGGCCGUAACUAUAACGGUCCUAAGGUAGCGAAAUUCCUUGUCGGGUAAGUUCCGACCUGCACGAAUGGCAUAAUGAUGGCGGCGCUGUCUCCAGCAGAGGCUCAGUGAAAUCGAAAUCGCUGUGAAGAUGCAGUGUACCCGCGGCUAGACGGAAAGACCCCGUGAACCUUUACUGCAGCUUGACACUGAACUUUGACCUUACUUGUGUAGGAUAGGUGGGAGGCUUUGAAGCUGGAACGCUAGUUCCAGUGGAGCCGUCCUUGAAAUACCACCCUGGUAAUGUUGAGGUUCUAACUCUGUCCCGUGAUCCGGGACGAGGACCGUGUCUGGUGGGUAGUUUGACUGGGGCGGUCUCCUCCUAAAGAGUAACGGAGGAGUACGAAGGUGCGCUCAGCGUGGUCGGAAAUCACGCGUAGAGUAUAAAGGCAAAAGCGCGCUUAACUGCGAGACCCACAAGUCGAGCAGGUACGAAAGUAGGUCUUAGUGAUCCGGUGGUUCUGUAUGGAAGGGCCAUCGCUCAACGGAUAAAAGGUACUCUGGGGAUAACAGGCUGAUACCGCCCAAGAGUUCAUAUCGACGGCGGUGUUUGGCACCUCGAUGUCGGCUCAUCUCAUCCUGGGGCUGAAGCAGGUCCCAAGGGUAUGGCUGUUCGCCAUUUAAAGAGGUACGCGAGCUGGGUUUAGAACGUCGUGAGACAGUUCGGUCCCUAUCUACCGUGGGCGCUGGAAAUUUGAGAGGAUCUGCUCCUAGUACGAGAGGACCAGAGUGGACGAACCUCUGGUGUACCGGUUGUGACGCCAGUCGCAUCGCCGGGUAGCUAUGUUCGGAAGGGAUAACCGCUGAAAGCAUCUAAGCGGGAAGCCUACCUCAAGAUAAGAUUUCCCUAGGACUUUAUGUCCUCUAAAGAGCCGUUCGAGACUAGGACGUUGAUAGGUUGGAUGUGGAAGCAUAGUGAUAUGUGAAGCUGACCAAUACUAAUUGCUCGUGAGGCUUGACUAUACAACACCCAAGCAGUUG